GAAUUCGCCCUUAGAGUUUGCUUUUGGCUCAGGACGAACGCUGGCGGCGUGCCUAACACAUGCAAGUCGAACGGAGAUGUUUAUUUCGGUAGAUAUCUUAGUGGCGCACGGGUGAGUAACGCGUGAAUAACCUGACCCGAAGAGGGGGGAUAACACCUGGAAACAAGUGCUAAUACCGCAUAAGACCACGGACCGGCAUCGGUCAGAGGUCAAAGGAGGAAUCCGCUUUGGGAGGGGUUCGCGUCCCAUUAGGUAGUUGGUGAGGUAACGGCCCACCAAGCCGACGAUGGGUAGCCGAGCUGAGAGGCUGAUCGGCCACACUGGAACUGAGACACGGUCCAGACUCCUACGGGAGGCAGCAGUGGGGAAUAUUGGGCAAUGGGCGCAAGCCUGACCCAGCAACGCCGCGUGAGGGAAGAAGGUUUUCGGAUUGUAAACCUCUGUCGCAGGGGACGAAGGAAGUGACGGUACCCUGUAAGAGAGCCCCGGCUAACUACGUGCCAGCAGCCGCGGUAAUACGUAGGGGGCGAGCGUUGUCCGGAAUUACUGGGCGUAAAGGGAGCGUAGGCGGUCGAUUAAGUUAGAUGUGAAACCCCCGGGCUUAACUUGGGGACUGCAUCUAAUACUGGUUGACUUAGAGUACAGGAGAGGGAAGCGGAAUUCCUAGUGUAGCGGUGAAAUGCGUAGAUAUUAGGAGGAACACCAGUGGCGAAGGCGGCUUUCUGGACUGACACUGACGCUGAGGCUCGAAAGCGUGGGGAGCAAACAGGAUUAGAUACCCUGGUAGUCCACGCUGUAAACGAUGGAUACUUAGGUGUGGGGGGGACUGACCCCCUCCGUGCCGCAGUUAACACAAAUAAGUAUCCCACCUGGGGAGUACGAUCGCAAAGGUUGAAACUCAAAGGAAAUUGACGGGGGCCCGCACAAGCGGUGGAGUAUGUGGUUUAAUUCGAAGCAACGCGAAGAACCUUACCAGGGCUUGACAUCCCGGUGACCGGACUAGAGAUAGUCCUUUUCCUUCGGGGACGCCGGUGACAGGUGGUGCAUGGUUGUCGUCAGCUCGUGUCGUGAGAUGUUGGGUUAAGUCCCGCAACGAGCGCAACCCCUAUUGUUAGUUGCUACGCAAGAGCACUCUAGCGAGACUGCCGUUGACAAAACGGAGGAAGGUGGGGACGACGUCAAAUCAGCACGGCCCUUACGUCCGGGGCUACACACGUGUUACAAUGGCAGGUACAGAGAGAUGGUGUUCUGCAAAGCGCAUCUAAUCCUUAAAGCCUGUCUCAGUUCGGACUGGGGUCUGCAACCCGACCCCACGAAGCUGGAUUCGCUAGUAAUCGCGCAUCAGCCAUGGCGCGGUGAAUACGUUCCCGGGCCUUGCACUCACCGCCCGUCA
rnacentral:rRNA from 1 species